rnacentral:rRNA from 1 species
CCUACGGGUGGCAGCAGUGAGGAAUAUUGGUCAAUGGACGAGAGUCUGAACCAGCCAAGUAGCGUGAAGGAUGACUGCCCUAUGGGUUGUAAACUUCUUUUAUAUGGGAGUAAAAUGUUCCACGUGUGGGAUUUUGUAUGUACCAUAUGAAUAAGGAUCGGCUAACUCCGUGCCAGCAGCCGCGGUAAUACGGAGGAUCCGAGCGUUAUCCGGAUUUAUUGGGUUUAAAGGGAGCGUAGGUGGAUUGUUAAGUCAGUUGUGAAAGUUUGCGGCUCAACCGUAAAAUUGCAGUUGAAACUGGCAGUCUUGAGUACAGUAGAGGUGAGCGGAAUUCGUGGUGUAGCGGUGAAAUGCUUAGAUAUCACGAAGAACUCCGAUUGCGAAGGCAGUUCACUGGACUGCAACUGACACUGAGGCUCGAAAGUGUGGGUAUCAAACAGGAUUAGAUACCCUUGUAGUC